ensembl:lncRNA
UUCAUUCCAUACUUUGUCUCAGUCAGGACACAGAGGCCCAGCUGAAAACUAUUUUCCUGCAUUUUUGCAAGCCUAUACACAUGGAGAAUUUCGAAGAUAUUCUAAAACGGGUGGACAUCGAUUUUUCAGAAUUCCAAACACUCCAAGAACCAUGGCUGUAACCGGUAGUUAUACACCCCCGGGAACCUCAAGCAAAUCGCUCCAUAAUCUAGCAUUUACGACGCAUCACAGUCCUUCACGACUCCGCACAACUGUGGUCCAAGUGCAUUGCGCAGAAUCACCCAGGCCCGAGAAGGGCUACUGGGCUGAAAACGUACGGAUUCAAGAAUAGGAGCUCUAUGGAUAUGACUCCAACGAUACACGCCCGGAAGAAUCUGUAAAGCCAUGUGAAAAUAUUCUAGAACCCCCGGUAUCCAUAAUUCCACAGAACAGCCUGCGUCAAAAAGCAGAGACUCCCCGGCGUAUACCGGCACAGAAGGCCCAACACAUCGAGAGCACGUGUUCGUGGAGGAAUUCGGCGCCCAGGACAUGCACAGUAAAACACUGAAACGGGAUGAUUUCAAUGCUUUAAAUGACAAUUCUGAGCUAGAAAAUUUGCUGUUGUGGCCAGCCACAUUGAUAGAGCCAAUUCUGAGGUAGAAACACCAGAUCCUGAAAUAGAACAAGAUAGGAUUCUCACAGCCUUUUACAGGGCUCUAAAAUCCAGAAAGGUCUUGCUACACAAACGUAUGGUGGCUUUACUCAAGCGGCAAUACAGUCAAGAUUAUCCUUCUGGCAUAGAACAAUGCCCCAUUUGUUAAACAACAAUCUGAUUAAAAAACGCAAAUACAAGCGCUAAAAUCUAUAUGUAAAAUGGAUCCUUCCAGAAUACCACAAGAACACACAUCCUUAAUUAACCAAAUGAUUGAGACCGGGGUGACAGAUCCCAUAAUUCAGACACUUGGAAACCUGUUAUCACAGAUCCCAGAAGAACUCAUAUCCUUAAUUAAUCAAAUGAAUGAGGCAGGGCCAACAGAUGAAAACCUGUUAUCACAGAUCCCCACCGAACUCAUAUCCUUAAUUAACCAAAUGAAUGAGAGCACAAGAUCUUCGACACCAGACCACCCACACACACCUCCUUUAACUCCCAUAUCCAAGGAGUCUGAACCACAAUACAAGGUUUUUGAGGAAUUUGACAAUUGUAGAAUAAAUCAGAGGGGCGAUGGUCUUGAUAGAAGUGUUCGGGUUGUGUUCCCCAAAUAAAUUCAGCAAUACAGAUUCAACAGUUUUUUAAAUUUCACAUAGCUGAAUCAGAACCUUGAUUAUGCAGUUUUUUCUGUGAUGAUAUUGGAUACUCUGAACAAACUGUUAGACAGGGCAACAGAUUUUGCCGAACCUCGCGAUGUCUUACAGCUUGAAAUGUGUGGAGAUAGCAUGCAAAACACUGUAUCUCUUGUUUUACCCAAUGGCACAGCAGAUCUUGAACAAUUUAUAGCCCUUCUGGAACAACUUGUUCAAUCUAAAUAAUCCAUCCUAGCUGAUAGGACCCUCGAGCUCAUAGUACUAAUAGUACAUCAACCCUUAGGUGGAGGGGGUCAGAGAAAGAAACUUGAUAGUCUCAUGCAAUCAGAAAUCAUAAGCAAUAAAAGGGCAUAUCUCAUAAACAUUCAAUGCAGUGGGUCUAGGUAUACAGGAUGCUGUGGCUUUCUCUGACAUCGUCAAAUUUGAAAAAUGUCUGAACAUCAAGAUUGUGGUUUUGUACCACAGUAGAGCUAAUGCAGCUCUCUUGAAAUUCCAGAACAACCCACAACCUCAUCCUCAGAUUCUGUACUUUUAUGUGCAAAACACCCAUUAUUAUGCUAUUACCAACAUCACAGCGUUUUUAGGAGCGCCAUAUGUGUCCAUCAUGUCAUACAGGCUACACCCAAAAGGAGGGCGCUCUUGUCGUUAUAACUGUUCAGUAUGUCUGGAUGAAACAUGUCCGAUGCAACCCUUAAACCUAACACCCUGUGCAGAUUGUCAACGCACAUCGUUCGGGCCUACUGCUACGAUAAACACAAAAUUGAGACAGGGCACCCCAAGGCAUGUAAAUCUGUAAGCAGUUGUGACAUCAACAAGAAAUGUCCAAAAUGCCAUUGCAAUUACAACCUUAAAAUAGACAGCCCAAACCUCAUGUGUAUGGAAUCAUACAUUGCCCAAUCUGUAAAGGGCCUUUGAAAAUCAGAGACGCUGAAAUGGUUCAAGAAGUGCCACACGAGUGUUAUAUUCAGCCCUUGGCUGAAGAUGAACAUUCAGAGAAAUAUGUGUUCUAUGAUUUUGAGACUAAUCAGCAAUCAGGUGUUCAUUUGCCUAUUUUUGUAUCUACCAUGACUUUCAAGGGUGAAAAGUGGUCGGCAGAGGGGCCCAAUUGUGCACUGUACUAUUUCUUAAACACUUCAGAAAACCCCAGUACACAAACUUCACGUUUAUAGCUCACAAUUCUACAGCCUAUGACUCCAAUAUUCUUUUGAACCCUCUGAUAAAACAAGGCGUUGCACCCAGUGUCAUAGCUCAAUGUAGUAAAAUCUUGUGUUUUGUAGACCCCGCCUUCAACCAGAGAUACAUUGACAGUUUAAGUUUCUUACCCAUGAGAUUGGCUCAAAUGCAUGAGGCCUUGGGUUUUGAAAACUCUGUGAAAGGGUGGUUUCCUCAUUUCUUCACAUCUGAGGAGAAUCUACAUUAUAUUGGAUCUUAUCCUAGCCUGGAAAUGUACAGGUGGAAUCAAAUGUCUCCCAAAGAGCGAGAGAGAUUGAUGACAUGGUAUGAGACAGUAUGUCAUUGCACCUUUGAUUUCCACAAAGAGAUGGAGUCAUACUGUGACAACGAUGUGGUUAUACUUCGUGAAGGAUGCUUCAGAUUCAGAGAAGAGGUAAUCAAAGAUGCCGGCAUUGACCCCUGGAGUUGUACAACUAUUGCAUUGACCCCUGGAGUUGUACAACUAUUGAAUUGGUGUGAAAACCUAUCGUACACACUUUUUACCUGCAGCAUCUAUAGCUAUUCCAUCGCCGGACAACUACCGACGCCAAUUCAAGUCAUACUCUAGUGGGUCCAUUCAAUGGUUGGAGUACUUGGCCCAACAUGCUUUGAAUAGGUGUGAGAAGGCAUUUGGGGCUUAUCACGUAGAUGGAUAGACACAGAUUGACGGUGUUGAGACCGUGUUUGAGUACAAUGAUUGGUUCUUCCACGGUUGUAAAUCUUGCUUUGUGCCCCAGGCCAUGUGUGUCCUAACCCAAAAUACUUUGGGGAAAAUGUUCCAAGAGUUCCAAGACAAAUUGGAAUCUUUACAGGCCACUUACGGGUUAAAAGUGAAUGUGAUGUGGGAGCAUGUAUGGAUUGCACUCAAAAAGUCUGAUCCUCAUGUUCAAGCUUUCCUUUCCAGCUUUAACACACCAGAACCCUCGGAACCAUGACAGGCCUUGUAUGUAGGCUGUACCAAUGCUUUGACAUUGCGGUAUGUAGUGCAACCCAACGAGACAAUAGGAUAUGUAGAUUAUACAUCCCUUUAUCUUCAUGUAAUGAGUUCCUCAUGCUAUCCUAUGGGGUAUCCUAAAAUUAUUCACCGCGACUUUGACUUACCCCAAAACUAUUUUGGUCUGAUCAAAGCAACUGUCUACCCUCCUAGGGGUUUGUUUAUACAAGUAUUGCCUUACAGGGACCUCAAGGAAAACUGUUCUUUCCCCUUUGACGCACCUGCAGUGAAAACAACAACCAGGAAAAGCCUUGUGAUCACUCAGAUCAAGAAGGAGCCCUGACAGGUGUAUGGGUCAUAGUUGAAUUCUCUAAGGCUCUAGAGAUGGGGUAUUGCGUGGCCAAAAUCUUUGAAGUGUGGAACUUUUCCAGGAAAUCAGACACUCUUUUUAAAGAGUACAUCAAGAUCUUCUUGAGAUGCAAGCAAAUGGCUUCAGGCUAUCCUGCAUCGGUCACAGAUCAAGAGAGCAAAGACAAGUAUAUUCAAGACUAUCACGACAGAGAAGGCAUACUUCUUGACCCAGACAGAUUAGAGGUCAACAAAACAAAAAGAAACGUGUCGAAAUUGUACUUAAACUCUCUUUGGGGGAAGCUUUCCCAGAAAAGCAAUAUGCUAACAACGUAGAUCAUUAAAGACCCCAAAGACUUUUGGAAUAUGUUUUUUUCGUACCAAUACGAAAUUUUAAAAUGAUCAUUCUUGAGUCAAGACAUUGCCCUGGUGCAAUGGAGACGUAACAAGAAGUGGGUUCUACCCCCGGGUAAUGUAAAUGUGUUUCUUGCAGCAUUUACCACGGCAUAUGGCCGACUUGAACUGUACGCCCUCAUGGAGCAGCUUCAGAGGCGGGUUCUUUACCACGACACAGACUCUGUGGUCUAUGUAAGCAAACAAGGUGAUUGGAACCCCCCGCUUAGCAACUAUUUGGGUGGUUUAACCUCUCUGGGAUAUGUGAGAUGCUAGCGUCCCACCUGGCCAAAAGCCAGUGAAAAUGCAGAGCGCCAAAUUCAAAUAAAUUAUUAUAAAAAUCUAACUUUCAUGAAAUCACACAUGUAAGAUAUCAAAGUAAAGCUACACUUGUUGUGAAUCUAGCCAACAUGUCAGAUUUCAAAAAGGCUUUUCGGCGAAAGCAAACAAUGCUAUUAUCUGAGGAUAGCACCUCCGUUAAACAAAGAGAGAAAAGCAUAUUUCAACCCUGCAGUUGCGACACAAAACACAGAAAUAAAAAUAUAAUUCAUGCCUUACCUUUGACGAGCUUCUUUUGUUGGCACUCCAAUAUGUCCCAUAAACAUCACAAAUGGUCCUUUUGUUCCAUUAAUUCCGUCGAUAUAUAUCCAAAAUGUUCAUUUCUUUGGCACGUUUGAUCCAGAAAAACACCAGUUCCAACUUGCACAACGUGACUACAAAAUAUCUCAAAAGUUACCUGUAAACUUUGCCAAAACAUUGCCAAAACAAAACUACUUUUGUAAUACAAUAGAUAUUUUUUAACCUAAAUAAUCGAUAAAAUUGAAGACAGGAUGAUCUGUGUUCAAUACAGGAGGAAAACAAACUGUAGCAUGCUUUCUGGGCAUGCGCCUCUAUUUAACAGUACACUUCAAGUUACCCUCGUUCAAGAUCGCCGUACUUCUUCAUUACACAAAGAAAAAACCUCAACCAAUUUCUAAAGACUGUUGACAUCCAGUGGAAGCGAUAGGAACUGCAAGAAGGUCCCCUAGAAAUCUGGAUUUCUAAUGAAAACCCAUUGAAAAGAGAGUGACCUCAAAAAAAACUGAAUGGUUUGUCCUUCUGUUAUACUCACAGACAUGAUUCAAACAGUUUUAAAAACUUCAGAGUGUUGUCUAUCCAAAUCUACUAUUAGCAGGCAGUUGAAUUGGGCAUGCAUUUCACCCGGACGUAAAAAUACUCCCCCCUGUUACCAAGAAGUUAAUGAGACUCACUUUGGCAUCGUUUGCAAUAUUAGUACCAUCUAUUUUGGUCACUUUGAGACGUAAAUGCAAUAAGGUGUUGUUGAGGUCCAGAGAGUUGUCACCGUGGACUGGUAUGAAAAAUUCUAUAGGACCAUUGUCUGCAAUGGCAGAGAGUGGGGCUAUCUCCACAUAACCUCUCUAUUGAAAAUUGGGUUAAGGGGGCCGUGAAAAGAUCGAGCUCUGUCUUUAUAGCUUCAGAGAACAUGCGGUGUAAAAGAGCCAUGUUGCUUGUUCUUUUAGAAAAUACCUCCGAAUAUUCAUUUUGCCGUUUUUGGUACAGACCUCCUCACUUUACCUCAUCUUUGACUUACUGAGCUUCUUUUAACGGUUAAACUCCUGCUUUUUAGGGGCUGGCCUUCAUCUUAUACCCUGAGGUCUCUUUUUUGGUCUUCGAGACAACAGCAUAUGAUGCUCGGCAUCUAAUGACGCCCUUCUGGUCCUAGCAUUGGCUACAACCUCACAAUAUUUUUAGCCGCUGAUUUUAAAUGUGGUUUGGCUAUGCUGAGGCCUCUCUUCAUAAAUGGUAAAACCAUCCUAAAGAGGUUACGAAAUAUGCCUCCUAUCCCUGAACCGUACAUGGUCGGGGAUCUGUGACAGCCGGGUAACCCAUUACCCACUUAAUCAACAUAGUAUGAGACAUAUCGGUUAGGGUCAAGAUGGUGAUUGUGUUCCAUAACCAUUUUUAUUUAUUUGUAUUAUGUUUGUAAAAAAAUAUAUAUAAUAGGUGGUACUAAAUGCCGCCUUCCACUCGUCUCCCUCUCGGAUACGCACCAGGUUGUACGCACUCCUGAAAUCCAGUUUAAUGAAGAAGCGCGCCCCGUGCAUUGACUUAAUCGCCGUGGCAAUAAGAGGUAGCGGGUAACUGUACCUCACCGUGAUUUGUUUUAGACCUUGAUAAUCAAUGCACGGGCGCAGACCUCCAUCCUUCUUCUUCACAAAAAAGAAACUCGAGGAGACUGGUGAAGUGGAGGACUGAAUGUAUCUCUGACACAGGGAUUCGAAGACAUAUGUCUCAAUAGCCACCGUCUCCGCUUGCGACAGGGAAUACAUGUGACUCCUGGGAAGUGCAGUGUCUACCAGGAGAUCUAUCGCACAAUCACCCCGUCGAUGGGGUGGUAAUUUAGUCGCUUUCUUUUUACAGAAUGCGAGAGCUAAAUCGGCAUAUUCUUGGGGGAUGCGCAAGGUGGAGACCUGGUCUGGACUUUCCACCGAAGUAGCACCAACGGAAACCCCUAAACACCUACCUAAGCACUCUUGCGACCACCCCGUGAGAGCCCUCUGUGACCAAGGAAUAGUGGGGUUAUGGUAAGCUAACCAGGGUAGCAUUGGAUAAGCAGGAGAGUCAAUAAGGAAAAGACUCAUCUUUUCCAUGUGACCCCCCUCGUCACCAUACUCAAAGGAGUGGUGGUCUCCCUGAUAAGCCCUGACCCUAUUGGUCGACUAUCUAAGGCGUGAAUAGGGAAAGGUACAUCCACGGGAACAAUAGGGGCCCCUAAACUAUGAGAUAACAAUUUAUCAAUGAAGUUCCCAGCCGCGCCGGAAUCUACUAGCGCCUUAUGCAGGGAAUGAGGGGAAAUAUCAGGAAAAGUGACAGACACAAAUUUAUGUGCGACAGAGGGCUCUGGGUGAGAAUGGUGCCGACUCACCUGGGGUAACGCAAGAGCGCCCUGCCUGCUGCCUCGAUUCCCAGAGGAACCAACCCGGCACCGACCAGCAGUGUGCCCUCUGCAGCCACAGAUGGUGCACGAGCGGGAACCCCCUCCGGUCUCCCUGCGCACCAUCCCUCCCAGCUCCAUGGACAUUGGAGAGGGGGUGCGGGAGGAUGGAACCACUAGACGCCGAUCUGGACAUCCACGAAUAGCCAGCAUGUUGUCCAGCCGGAUGGACAGGUCCACCAGCUGGUUGAAGGUGAGGGUGGUGUCUCUGCAGGCCAGCUCCUGACUGACUUCCUUGCAUAGACUGUAGUGGUAAUGGUCGAUCAGGGCCGGCAGCCAGGGUCCUAAACUCCUAAGCAAACUCCUGCGUGCUCCUCGUCUCCUGCCUCAGAUGAUAGAGACGCUCACCCGCCGCUCUGCCCUCGGGUGGGUGGUUGAAAACUGACCAGAAACGGCAGGUAAACUCCUCUAAAUGGUCCACCGCCGCAUCUUACCCUCCACACACGGCGCUGGCCCACUCCAGUGCUUUCCCGGUGAGGCACGAUAUGAGGUCGAAAACCUUCUCAUGGUCUGCUGGUUGGAUCGUGGCCAGAAAUAUUUAUAUAUUGGACCGUGGCCAGAGAUAUUUUUUAUCGAAAACACCCCUCAACUUGGAUAUACGUACCAAGUCCCCCACUAUGAAUUUAAAAUCCAUUUUUUUCUUAAGACGAAGGGGGAACAAACCAUACAGAUUUUUAAAGACUUGAAAAUAGUUUUCAGAAGAGUAUACGGGCUUCAUCCGUAUACUCUUAUGGUAGCUGUAGUGUUAACCCUUUACUAAAUCUUGAACUAUAUCGAUAUAUCUAUGUUUGUUAUGAGCUGUAAAAUAUUUCCACAUCCUCUCCUUCAAAGUUCUGUUAAAGCGUUCAACAACUGAAGCUUUCAAAUCCAAACCUGUAGCAAAAUGUACGAUAUUGUGCUUCUUCAUUAUUAAAAAAUGAUUUUCCGCCGUCAGUCUGCACUUUCUUGGGGGCUCCUCCUUCCUUCAAGAUAGAGUCAAAUGCCCGGGUCACCUUUGCCCCACUCUCAAAUGCUAUUUUAGAGAAAAUAUCUAUAACCGUAAGCAUGUAGCGAUUUCCAUCAUUUUUAUCUGCAAGGGCCUGCAUGUCACAUAGAUAAGCCUGAACCUGGGACAAGGGAUGGGUAGAAAAAAAUAUAUUUUGUGGAAAAAGUUUUUACACAGGUUUAUGCAGUGUAAGCAUCCUGCUCUGCUAGCCAUUCAUUCACUUGAGCAGCACCUAACCUGCUUCCUGUUUCUUUGGCAAUAGCUCUCUGUAACCACUCCUUACCCCCAUAAGACCCUGGGUUAGAGGGGGUAAAAUAAAUGUUUUUCAACAUCUGCUCCGCCAUCCUUCUUGCCUCUGAUGUACAAUAACAUUAAUGAGCCCCUUUCAAAUAAUGACAACAUUUAAUUUGAAUUUAGAAUUUUUAUUUUUGCAAACAUCAAGUAUUAAAUAUACAGUCGUGGAAAAAAGUUUUGAGAAUGACACAAAUAUUAAUUUUCACAAAGUUUGCUGCUUCAGUGUCUUUAGAUAUUUUUGUCAGAAGGGAAAAAGAGAUGACUGAGAGUUUGAUUUUGAGUAUGCUAACACACUUUACAGUUUCAGUCAAACUUCAUGUAGAAUUCAUUAGGUUAAUCUGACAAUCUUUUCAUAAUAUUUGGAUUUACAUUGGAUUUCUGGUAGGGGUAAUAUUGAUGGAUUUCAUUUUUUAUGUGAUGUCUAGAUGCUUUUUAUAGUGGAGAUCAAGUUUCCAAAUUGCUUGGCUGGGCUGAUAAGACAGUCAAUUGAACAGAGAUAGAACAGAUAGAACAGAGUAAAUAGUAAUUUUAACAUCAUAGAUUAAGACAGUGGUCAUUUGUGGAAUAGGCUGUUUUAACCAAUCAGCAUUCAGGAUUAGACCCACCCACUGUAUAAAAUGACAUUACAAUAUAGAGCCCAGUAGUUCCCAUUCUAAACUGGUUUGCUGCCAGGUUCUACAAGAGUAGAUUAUUGAGCAAAAAAUGAUUUUAUUGUCAUCCUAUGAUGUUAGCCAUGUUAUAAUAAGGAAAUAUAGAUUUACUGGUAAAUGAAAAACCUGUAUAGUCUGUUUGGUGACAAAAUAAUAAGCCUAUGAAUAACCCUUUUGGGUUCCAGAUAGAACCCUUUGGAGUUCCAUGUAGAACCCUUUACACAGACGGUUCUACAUGGCACCCAAAGGAGUUCUACCUGUAACCAAAAAGGGUUAUCCUUUGGGGACAGCCGAAUAACCCUUUCUUCUAAGAGUGGACUAUAAAGCAUACAGCCUAUCCACUGUUAGGUCCCUGAGUUUUACUUUUACAAUUUUUUUUAAAGUAAAAUAAGACUGCUCACUGUUCGCUGUGGACAUGUAUUUCUCUGUGUUGCUUUCUGUAUGCCUCUUCUUCCUUUUGUAUUGUGCUACAUUAGCCCGGUUGAAGCAGACUGAACACUGUGCUGACCAUUGUUUCACUUGUGCGCAGAGUUCAGUCUAGUUUUUUUCCCUUUAUUGUUUUCCCCUUUUCUGUGCCAGACUGAGUGUGACCUGUUUAGUCUGAUCCAGGCUACCUGUAAGUAUUACUCAUUCACACACAUUCAGCCGCUGUUUAUCACACACAGGUUAUCAACAUAACAAAGGUACCACAUUGCUCUCACUAUAUAUUUUACUCUUCAAUUUAAUAUAUUCCAAUUUCUAGGGAGUAAAGGUUCCGUUUAAAAUAAGGAAUAAGUGGCAAAGAUCUGACUGGGGCAGAAUCUGAAAUCAUUUGCUGUAAAAUUUGUACAACAUAAUAUAUAGAGAGAAAGCAGUACACAAAAACAGCAGAGAAGAUGGUCAAUCUUUUCAGCAAGUGGUGGCAGGCAGGUCAUAAGGUUUAUCAGAUACUUGCAACCAAUCAGUUGCCCUGGCUUUGGUGCUCUACUGUUGCCGUGUAGAGGGAAUUGUUGUCUUUCUGAUGCAAUCUAACUUUUAGGCAUUGACAUGUUAUGAAUAAAUAAAUUAUAUAAACAGAAAAUGUUAGCCAUUAUCAGUGUAACUAUGGCAGUGGUGGUGACAACCAUUUUAAGAUUUUUGUAUUAUUCUUACAUGUGGUGAUAAAAUUGAGUGUCACUGUGCUAUCACAAUCAUUGUAUGGUCUAUCUACUGCAUAUGUAUACAGUGCAUUCAGAAAGUAUUCAGACCCCUUGACCUUUUCCAAAUGUUGUUAUGUUACAGCCUUACUUUAAAAUUGAUUAAAUAAAUACAAAUCCUCAUCCAUCUUCCCGAAUGCACUGUAUACUGUGAUUAUUGUUAUAAUCAGUUAGAUAAAGUUAAAAUGUAUUAAGGAGAGUCCAUCCUAUUCUUUGUAAAUGCUAACAUUAAAUUCAUGUGUCUCAAGUCUAUUUGGCCUCCAUCAUUCUCGCAUGAUAAAAGUGCUGUCUUCUUAUUCAACCUUUAAUGUCUCAUUGAGAUAAAAUCUAUUUGACAAGAGAGACCUGCUCCAAAAUAGCAGCAGGGUCAGCAAUGUAACAACUAUUAUGAUCAAAUGACUAAUUACAGAUGUAUGAUCUUAAUUUGACCAGUAUUGUCACAGCAACGGGAUUUGAACAUUUUGUCCAUAAUCUUGUUUUAUCAGUUGUUAGGCUAUUAGCUGGUUA